AGCGAACGUUUGCGGCGGGCUUAACACAUGCAAGUCGAACGGGCUGUUCCUUCGGGGGCAGUCAGUGGCGCAUGGGUGCGUAACACGUAGGUAAUCAACCCUCUGGUUGGGGAUAACACUUCGAAAGGAGUGCUAAUACCCGGUAUGGCGCAGCGGUCUUCGGAUCGCGGCGAGAAAGACCCGCAAGGGUUGCCAGAGGACGAGCCUGCGGCCCAUCAGCUAGUUGGCGAGGUAACGGCUCACCAAGGCGAAGACGGGUAGCUGGUCUGAGAGGAUGAUCAGCCACACUGGAACUGAGACACGGUCCAGACUCCUACGGGAGGCAGCAGUGGGGAAUAUUGCGCAAUGGGCGAAAGCCUGACGCAGCCACGCCGCGUGAGCGAUGAAGGCCUC
rnacentral:rRNA from 1 species